UACAGAGGGGGCAAGCGUUAUUCGGAAUUAUUGGGCGUAAAGCGCGUGUAGGCGGUCCGGUAAGUCCGCUGUGAAAGUCGGGGGCUCAACCCUCGAAUGCCGGUGGAUACUGUCGGGCUAGAGUGCGGAAGAGGCGAGUGGAAUUCCUGGUGUAGCGGUGAAAUGCGCAGAUAUCAGGAGGAACACCUAUUGCGAAGGCAGCUCGCUGGGACGUAACUGACGCUGAGACGCGAAAGCGUGGGGAGCAAACAGG
rnacentral:rRNA from 1 species